rnacentral:rRNA from 1 species
GUGCCAGCCGCCGCGGUAAAACGUAGGAGGCGAGCGUUAUCCGGAUUUACUGGGUGUAAAGCGCGUGCAGGCGGUUCGUUAAGUUGGAUGUGAAAGCUCCCGGCUCAACUGGGAGAGGUCGUACAAGACUGGCGGACUGGAGUGUGGUAGGGGAAGGUGGAAUUCCGGGUGUAGUGGUGAAAUGCGUAGAUAUCCGGAGGAACACCAGUGGCGAAGGCGGCCUUCUAGACCACAACUGACGCUCAGACGCGAAAGCUAGGGUAGCAAACGGGAUUAGAUACCCUCGUAGUCC